AGUGAACGCUGGCGGCAUGCCUAACACAUGCAAGUCGAACGGCAGCACAAGAGAGCUUGCUCUCUGGGUGGCGAGUGGCGGACGGGUGAGGAAUGCAUCGGAAUCUGCCCAUUUGUGGGGGAUAACCUCGGGAAACCGGGACUAAUACCGCAUACGACCUACGGGUGAAAGCAGGGGAUCUUCGGACCUUGCGCAGAUGGAUGAGCCGAUGCCGGAUUAGCUAGUUGGAGGGGUAAAGGCCCACCAAGGCGACGAUCCGUAGCUGGUCUGAGAGGAUGAUCAGCCACACUGGAACUGAGACACGGCCCAGACUCCUACGGGAGGCAGCAGUGGGGAAUAUUGGACAAUGGGCGCAAGCCUGAUCCAGCCAUGCCGCGUGUGUGAAGAAGGCCUUCGGGUUGUAAAGCACUUUUGUUGGGAAAGAAAAGCAGCCGGUUAAUACCCGGUUGUCAUGACGGUACCCAAAGAAUAAGCACCGGCUAACUUCGUG
rnacentral:rRNA from 1 species